ACAACUGUCACUACACAAACCUGACGAUUGCAUAACGCAUGAAAGUACUAGUUUAUUUCAAUACUGUAAAAUUGUAAAAAUUGCAAAUAAUAAAACGUGAAAAUCAGACUAAGUUGGAAUAUUUCAAAUUUCACUGAUAUUCAUCUAAACG